UUAAGUUCAGGGGGUAUCCCUACCUGAUCUGAGGUCAAGAUUUUAAAUAAAUCGUUCAGUUGGCAGACAACUAUCCAGUUGCUUUGACGAGGAAUUACUUACUACGUCUUACAAGCUGAAUAGCGUCGCCAAUAGCUUAAAGGAGAGAGGCAAAGCCACUUCUCCCAAUACCAAACUAAAGUUUGAUUGAUUUAUUGACG
rnacentral:misc_RNA from 1 species